rnacentral:rRNA from 1 species
GACGAACGCUGGCGGCGUGCUUAACACAUGCAAGUCGAACGGAAAGGCCCUGCUUUUGUGGGGUGCUCGAGUGGCGAACGGGUGAGUAACACGUGAGUAACCUGCCCUUGACUUUGGGAUAACUUCAGGAAACUGGGGCUAAUACCGGAUAGGAGCUCCUGCUGCAUGGUGGGGGUUGGAAAGUUUCGGCGGUUGGGGAUGGACUCGCGGCUUAUCAGCUUGUUGGUGGGGUAGUGGCUUACCAAGGCUUUGACGGGUAGCCGGCCUGAGAGGGUGACCGGCCACAUUGGGACUGAGAUACGGCCCAGACUCCUACGGGAGGCAGCAGUGGGGAAUAUUGCACAAUGGGCGGAAGCCUGAUGCAGCAACGCCGCGUGCGGGAUGACGGCCUUCGGGUUGUAAACCGCUUUCGCCUGUGACGAAGCGUGAGUGACGGUAAUGGGUAAAGAAGCACCGGCUAACUACGUGCCAGCAGCCGCGGUGAUACGUAGGGUGCGAGCGUUGUCCGGAUUUAUUGGGCGUAAAGGGCUCGUAGGUGGUUGAUCGCGUCGGAAGUGUAAUCUUGGGGCUUAACCCUAAGCGUGCUUUCGAUACGGGUUGACUUGAGGAGGGUAGGGGAGAAUGGAAUUCCUGGUGGAGCGGUGGAAUGCGCAGAUAUCAGGAGGAACACCAGUGGCGAAGGCGGUUCUCUGGGCCUUUCCUGACGCUGAGGAGCGAAAGCGUGGGGAGCGAACAGGCUUAGAUACCCUGGUAGUCCACGCUGUAAACGGUGGGUACUAGGUGUGGGGUCCAUUCCACGGGUUCCGUGCCGUAGCUAACGCUUUAAGUACCCCGCCUGGGGAGUACGGCCGCAAGGCUAAAACUCAAAGGAAUUGACGGGGCCCCGCACAAGCGGCGGAGCAUGCGGAUUAAUUCGAUGCAACGCGUAGAACCUUACCUGGGUUUGACAUGGAUCGGGAGUGCUCAGAGAUGGGUGUGCCUCUUUUGGGGUCGGUUCACAGGUGGUGCAUGGCUGUCGUCAGCUCGUGUCGUGAGAUGUUGGGUUAAGUCCCGCAACGAGCGCAACCCUUGUUCACUGUUGCCAGCACGUUAUGGUGGGGACUCAGUGGAGACCGCCGGGGUCAACUCGGAGGAAGGUGGGGAUGACGUCAAGUCAUCAUGCCCCUUAUGUCCAGGGCUUCACGCAUGCUACAAUGGCUGGUACAGAGAGUGGCGAGCCUGUGAGGGUGAGCGAAUCUCGGAAAGCCGGUCUCAGUUCGGAUUGGGGUCUGCAACUCGACCUCAUGAAGUCGGAGUCGCUAGUAAUCGCAGAUCAGCAACGCUGCGGUGAAUACGUUCCCGGG